AGAGUUUGAUCCUGGCUCAGGAUGAAUGCUGGCGGCGCGCCUAACACAUGCAAGUCGAGCGGUAACAUGCUUCUCACCUUGGUUCGAAGGGGACUGGGGGUUGGGAAAUAGGAAUUAAGACUAAAUCUUUUUCUCAUUUCCUAAUCCCUAAUACCGUAACUUCGAGCUGAAGUGAGAAGUGAUGACGAGCGGCGGACGGCUGAGUAACGCGUGGGAACAUGCCCCAAAGUGAGGAAUAACUGCCCGAAAGGGUAGCUAAUGCCGCAUAUGGUCUUCGGAUUAAAGGAUUUAUCCGCUUUGGGAGUGGCCUGCGUACGAUUAGGUAGUUGGUGAGGUAAAGGCUCACCAAGCCUACGAUCGUUAACUGGUCUGAGAGGAUGAUCAGUCACACUGGAACUGAGACACGGUCCAGACUCCUACGGGAGGCAGCAGUGAGGAAUCUUCCACAAUGGGCGAAAGCCUGAUGGAGCGACGCCGCGUGCAGGAUGAAGGCCUUCGGGUUGUAAACUGCUUUUAUAAGUGAAGAAUAUGACGGUAACUUAUGAAUAAGCACCGGCUAACUACGUGCCAGCAGCCGCGGUCAUACGUAGGGUGCAAGCAUUAUCCGGAGUGACUGGGCGUAAAGAGUUGCGUAGGUGGACAAAUAAGCGAAUAGUGAAAUCUGAUGGCUCAACCAUACAGACUAUUAUUCGAACUGUUUGUCUCGAGAAUAGCAGAGGUAACUGGAAUUUCUAGUGUAGGAGUGAAAUCCGUAGAUAUUAGAAGGAACACCAAUGGCGUAGGCAGGUUACUGGGCUAUUUCUGACACUGAGGCACGAAAGCGUGGGGAGCGAACCGGAUUAGAUACCCGGGUAGUCCACGCCGUAAACGAUGGAUACUAGCUGUUGGAGGUAUCGACCCCUUCAGUAGCGAAGCUAACGCGUUAAGUAUCCCGCCUGGGGAGUACGGUCGCAAGAUUAAAAC
rnacentral:rRNA from 1 species